UUUAUUCUUAACUGACUUGCCUAGUUAAAGAAAGGUUAAAUAAAAUAAAUAAAAAGCAUGCUUCUUCUGUUCCGCAGACAUAUCAAAAGAUCUGAAUACGACCAGCUCUUGUGACUCUCACUGAUGCAACCUCUCUCCUCGUGACUUCAAACGGAACCUCCAGCUGGCUCAUUCUCACUCUCAUCUUCACCCGACCACCAUCAGUUUCAAACAGAACAUCUGUUUUCCGCCAUCUUCCUCUCCACCUCUCGUCUUCUUCUGCCACAAUGAAUCUGUGUCCAUGCCAGAUAGUUGCUUAAGUAUCCCCGCCGAUACCUGGAAGUUACCAAAGCAGUGUUGGAAAAAGUACCUAAUUGUUAUACUUGAAUAAAAAUAAAGGGACCUUAAUAGAAAAUGACUGAAGUAAAAGUGAAAGUC
ensembl:lncRNA